rfam:Triticum aestivum genome assembly, contig: Triticum_aestivum_CS42_TGACv1_scaffold_487094_6AS
CAAAUACUCCCUCCGUCUCAAAUUUUUUAUCUUAAAUUUGUCUAAAUACGGAUGUAUCUAGUUACGUUUUAGUGUUAGAUACAUCUUUAUCUAGACAAAUGUAAGACACGAAUUUUGCACUGGAGGGAGUACCAA